CUGAGUACAACGUGGGCAACCUGCCCUUUGCACUGGGAUAGCCUCGGGAAACCGAGGUUAAUACCGGAUACUCCAUAUUUGUCGCAUGGCGAAUAUGGGAAAGCUCCGGCGGCAAAGGAUGGGCCCGCGGCCUGUUAGCUAGUUGGUGGGUAGUGGCCUACCAAGGCAAUGAUGGGUAGCCGGGUUGAGAGACCGACCGGCCAGAUUGGGACUGAGACACGGCCCAGACUCCUACGGGAGGCAGCAGUU
rnacentral:rRNA from 1 species